AAGGGAAGGAGGUCACGGGGUUAGAGGGCGGAUUAAAGGCCCCCACCUGUCUCGAAAUCCCGGACAACCGUCCCAAAAUCUGAAACAAGGAGGGAUCAAAACCGUACUUUUGGGACGUAGGGUGAAAAGGGAGUCACGGGAGAUUUUUCAGCCUAAAACAAAAACAUGAAGUCUGGGGACAAGCGGCUGAGAAACCGGGACGUGUCAUUCAGGUCCUGAACUCUUCCCAAGGAAAUUCAGAGCCUUCUCUUUCUUCGCUUGCUCAACAAAUAAACGGUGAAGGGAAGCCCACUGCGUCUCCUUCCGGAUAGCUUUUGUUUGUCUGGGCAAGGCAAGGCACCAUUUCCAGCAUCAUCUUAGCAGCCGAAUGGGUCGCUUUUUCUCCUCUUCACUGCAGAUAUAAAUAUGCGAAGCCCUUCAGGAGGAAGGAGCCAUGAGUUAAAAUUCUGGUUCCAUCCAAGCCAAUUACAAAACACCUAUUGAUUUUUUAGCCGAGCCAAAAUUUCACCCAUAAUCCUCGCCCCUGGGACACAGAUUCACGCGCCAUUGGAGCUGGACAGUACCUCAAAUGAGAGUCUGGCACAACUCAGGAGGAGGAAGUGAGGAUAAAAUGGUAGCCUCAGGGGCUGCAACUGAUUUGCAUAAUCAAUUUAAUUUUUGCCAUCUUGGAGGACUCCAAACACCAACUGCUUGAGCGGUCACACUCAUCAGUCUACAAUAUCCUUGUUCUAAAUGUGAUAACCUCAGGUGUGGAAAAGGCCACAGCCCUUUGACAGAUCUUACAAUAUGGACAUUACCACUUCAAGCAAAGACUUUUUUGGGGGGCACAUCUGUUUUGAGAUGCAGGCAAUAUAAACUCCAUGAAAUUUACACCCUCUGUGCCAAGAUGUCAUGAGAGUUAUACCCACCUGUGUAAGCCAAAACCACAAAAACUUUAAAAAUUCCCUAGGAGUGUUUUAAUGGAGAGAAGGAAGAGAGAGCCCAUGUUACAGUUUCAGGCAGUGGAGAAGUUUUUGACUUAACAAUUUUUAAGACAAAUUGAGAACAAGGCCUCAAUGAGAUCAUCCACUGAUGUGGGGUAGAGAGGCAUCCUUUCCACCCACCCAGGGGUGGUCCUAGCUUGACAAACAAAGGAAUUAUCUAUGGUGAAUGCUUUUAUCAUUCUCUCAGACAACAGCAACAGGCCUACAAGGUCAGGAAGACUGGCUAGGAGAGCAGGAAUGAAUGACACCACCAGGGAUUACUAUGAAAACAUACCUGACUAUAAAGUUCUGGGGAAGAAGAUAAAGCAUCUUGGGGCUCUGGUAAAGUUCUCAUCAAGGUAGAGGACUACACAGAGAGAUCACAGUUCAGGGGAACUAUUCUCCUAAGUAGCAGCAUGUUUCUUGGACUAUUGUGUAAGCUUCCUAAAGAAGGAAGGUAGGCUGCACCUUGGGAAAUGUAUCUGGCAGAAGAAUGGCAAACCUGAGCAAGAGGGACAUAAUCAAAUACUGUGUGGGAUGGCUCCAAUAGCCGAAAGCUAAGUACAAAAUGAAGCACUAAAUAUAUGGAUGUGGCUGCUACUGGAGAAACUGGGAAAGUUGAGGAGAUGCCCAGCAAACCCUACGCUAAAAUAGCAGGAGAGAUAUCAGAGUAGAAUAUCCAAAGCUUUAAACUUCUAUGCUAAUGCAUAGAGUAUGGGAAAUGAACAAGAUGAACUUCAACUUCUUGAACGAGAAAGUAAAUACAAAUUGAUCCACAUAACUGAGACUUAGUGGGACAUGAUUAGAAAAUAGCAAUUGAAGGAUGUAGCUUGUUCUAAAAAACCCCAAUUUUCAUAUUCUGAAAUAAAUGCUAGGUAGAAUUAAAUGGCUAUUUCUACUCAUGAGAAAAGAAAUCCAAGACAGGUGACAGUUCCCGAAUAACAAAUUACUAAAGGCACAAUCACCAAUAAUUCCAAGGAGAAUGAAAAAUGUAGGAUUUUUUAAAAGUCUGUGUGGCUGCACAAAAAGCUGAAAAUAAAAAGGACAUGCAUGAGAAGAGGACUGAAGGAUAAGUUAACAAGGAUGAGUACAAGCAAGGCUUUUCUUUUUAGUUGGACGUUGCUGGAACUCAGUUCUGGCACCUCUCAGGUGCCAUAAAAAGAGAGUGGUGAGUUCUGGCACCUCUUUUUCUAGGAAAAAAGCAUUGAGUACAAGUAUCCUAGACUUGUUGGAAGAGUGUCAGCAAAGCUAAAGCUCAGAAAGAAUUGACGGUGGCAAGAAAAAGUGCCUUUUGGGGCAUGUUCAGAAUAAGAGAAGAGGAAGGAAAUGGGGUAUGUAGCUCAGUAGGAAUUGUGAAAUGUUAAUGGGUGACAGCAAGAAGGUGGAAUUGCUGAAUUCCUAUUUUUGCCUCUGUCUUUUCCCAAGGGGGAAUUGUGUGCUAACCUGCAUAAUAGCAUGACUGUUGAGGAGUCAGGAUUGCAGUUCAAGAUUACCAUAAUAAGGAGUUGUCAAAAAAUAUCUAGCUAUUUUAAUUGAGUUUAAGAUUUCAAGGCCAGAUGACUUGUAUCUAGGGUACUAAAGAACUUGUUGAUAUACUGUCAGAACAUCUGACUAUCAUCUUUAAGCAAUCUAGAAAACAGGUAAAGUGCCACAGGACUGCAAACAAAAAUGAGGAAAGGAGAAUCUGGCAACUUUGGGCAGCUCAUUCUGACCAAUUCCAGGGAAGAUACUUGAAAAGAUUAUAAAGAAGUCAGUUUGCAAGCACCUUGAGAAAAAUGAAGUGGUUAGUAGAAGUCAGCAUGAAUUUGUAAAUAAUAAUGCCAAAGUAAUUUAAACUUUGUUUUGAUCAGUUUAGUAGAUGGUGGGAAUGCUGUAGAUGUAAAUUAUCUUGAUUUCAGCAAAGUUCCCAUUGAUAUUUUGGUUAGCAUAAACAUUUAACAGUUGUGUAGAAGAGAGGUUUUAGGCAGGUACAGCUUGUCAUGCAGGAAUAUGUUGCGCCAGUUAAAAUUUGCAUCCACAAUACUACUCAAUUUCCUAAAACGUUCUUAAAGCAUAAAAUGUCAUCCUUUCAAUUCCAACAGCCAGCUUGGUGCAAGAGUUUAAUGGAAUAAGUACAAUAAUAUGCUAUCCCCCAGAAUUAUUUUGUUGUCCUUAAUGGCCAUGUUGGAAUUUAGGUCAGAUGUGAUCUGAAGCAAUAAAUAGCAAUACAAUUGCACUAUGGUUUGUCAUGUUGAAAUGCUCCCAUUGCUUGGAAGAGUGUCCUCAUCUAAUUUAGUUACUUUGAGAAGAAUUCUUACCCCAUUAAGAUAUAAUCUGAUUUCAACAGUAGUUUUGAAAUUGAGAAUGCCCAUGUUGCGUAUAAAGUUCAUUUAUGCUUUUUGCUGCACAGGACCGAGGAAAAUAUAUUAUGUUUUUAAAUGUCUCUUUCAUAUCUCAGUUAUAUAUAAAUGACUUCCACCACUGCUGAUGAGUAAAGAGAACUGGUCAAACUUUCUGCUAGGAAAAAAAUAUCUCAGCAAAAGUUACUUAAGCCAGCAAUUUAUGCCUUGGCAUCAUCUCUUGCUGCUUUUCUUGAAUCCCAUGUUGUGAACU